UUUCUUCUACUGCUACAGUGAAAAAAAAUUUGUUUUAUGGGAAGCAGUGGAAAGCUUAGUGUAUGGGAGAGGUAGUGGCCUGAUUUUGGAAAAUCUUUGUUGAUGAGUCAAGAUUAUUUUAUAAGAAGAAGGUUGGGAGGAAAAUUUUUGAAUGAGCAGUAGAUUUAUUUUCCUAAUUUAUUUAAAAUUUAAGGACAUUAUUUAUUUAUAAUGGCGUCGAUUGCACCGCCGGUGACAUUCCGAGUUUCGUACCUCAACUACCUGGAUUUUUCUGAGCUUCGUAUCUCAACCUGAACUAUUCGAUUUUUUGAGUUUCCACCAUUCCACAUCAGCAACAUCUGUCAUCGGAAAAAUCACCAGAGAAGUCGCGAGUGGCGUUCUGCGAAAGCAUCAAAAGAGAUGGCAUGGGAACCGUUACAUUCAGGUGCAGCAGUUGUUACCUAGGAAGUCACUGUCUUGUAAGUUAGUAGGGAAAAGGCCAGGCUUAUUGUUGGAGGCAUUCCCGAAAGACCAUUAUUUAUCAGGAUCCCCAAUGGUCAUCAGAGAUUCCAUGGAUCAAUGGCCUGCUAAGAAUAAGUGGAAUGACAUGAAUUACCUUAGAAAGGUUGCUGGCUUCCGUACGGUCCCCAUUGAGCCAUCCAGAGUUGGACUAAAUUUAUGCCAAGAUGGAGCUGGCUGUAGAGAGUCUGUGCUUAGGUGUUAUAGAAGGGAAGUCUACUCCAUGAGCAUGGAACGGGAGCUGCCUGUUACAUUGGGUUCAAGCUUGGAAUUCACAGAUAUGCAGAUUCAAUUUCAGGAGAAUAGGAUGAUCGAUGAAGAUGUAACAUUUCGGCUUGCACGACGUCUCCUUCCAUUUGCUCCAGCUAUGAAAGAAAAGAAUGGGCGCAACACUUUAUUCUCUUCUACCGCUCUUUGCUUACUUCUGGCCUUCCCGAACUCCUACACGGGGGGAGUCAGAUCUUGGAGUAAGCUCCUUUCCAUGGGCAAUCUACUCAAGAGUUUAGGCCCCUAAUUCGGUCUAUGUCUGAGCUGCUGCCGUACUCAAAGGCGAGGGGCUCCAAAAGUGGAUGCGAUCGGCCUCAGAGGAGAGGGGAGGCAACUUGAGAUUCUAGGCAAAGUGCUUUCAUAUAGGAUUCGAAUAGGAUGGACGAAACAGAGGAGUAUCACGAGAGUGUUGUGAGAUAAGACAAUACCUAACUCUUUCCCAAUACUUAUGUAUAUUCAUCCUAUUCUUAUUGCUUAUUCUAAAAAUGAUUGACGUUUUCCACAAACCUGUCUUUCACAGGAGUCGAUGUAGAGGGGCCUUGUGUUGCAAGUGAUCUUGAGAAGAGAAAAGCCACUGUUGUUGUAAAAAACAUAUUGACUGUGCUGUGACACAACGGUGAAUCAACAGGCGGACUGGUCGGUGGGAAGAGAAUCUCUCCAUCUGGGAUGGGUCUGCUCGGACCAUCCUUAAAUAUAUCUCUUUGUAUAAUCAAACAAAGCUUUAUAUUAUGAAAGAAUGCAUCCAGAACGAGCUACCACGUACAGUACGCAUGUAUUACAGAAAAGAUGGAACCUCAUUUUGGCUUCACAUUUCACCUGUACGGAAUGCUUCAGGAAAGGUUAAGAAAUUGGAGAUUGGCGCAUUGGUCUUUAUUAGUGGUGUAGUCCGUGUCAAAAUUUUGAAAUUUGAACAGGCGAGAAUCCGACAUGGUUGGUCUUGUUUCUAAUUAUGAUUUAUUGGCUCUGGACUCUGAAUCAGACCUAAACUGUUGAGGAGUACAGGAAAUACAUAACUGUCACUACUUUGUAAAGGUUGGAUAUGUGCAAACGAGCAACUUGCUUUGGAUCUUAGGGUUAGGCUUAUUUUAGAGUUAUCUCAUUUAUUUCAUCCUUCACUACUAUGUUCUUGUUAGCCGUGUUAACUGAAUAGCUAAUUGUUUGGCUUGUUUAAUGCAAUUGACUGUAGUCCAUCGAGGAAAUAUGUGAGUGCAUUGUUCCUUUCUUUAUCCACCAUUUUAUACUUACAACUACCUCAUGCCAAUGUCCACUUGAUUAUAUAUUCAUUUUUACUUUGCUUUUGUAGUUACUCUUCCUAGUUUUUAUUUUCAAUA